GUGUGUAACAACUCACCUGCCGAAUGAAUUAGCCCUGAAAAUGGAUGGCGCUCAAGCGGGCAGCCGACACCACGCCGUUUGGGCAAUUUCUUGUCCCAGAUGAGUAGGAGGGACGUGGCGGUUGUACAGAAGCGUGUGCGCGAGCAUGCGUGGAACGGCCGCUAGUGCAGAUCUUGGUGGUAGUAGCAAAUAUUCAAAUGAGAUCCUUGAAGGGCGAAGCGGGGAAGGGUUCCAUGCCAACAUUGAUUGAGUAUGGGUGAGUCGUUCCUAAGCCGUCUGGUAAUUGCUAGUCACCGGCGAAAGGGAAGCAGGUUGAUAUUCCUGCACACGGAUGUAGAUGGGGUGACCCACGUUGGGGCGGUAAAAUCGUCGGGAAUCGCACUGGGCAGAGAUUUCUUUUCUGUUUGACAUCCCGCACACUCUGUGGAAUCCGCUUGUCGGGAGAAACAGGUGUUGCUGUGGCAAAGCGCCGGAAUUUUUCUGGCGUCCAGUCGCGACCGGUGAUCCUUGAAAAACCGUCUGCUGGCCUGAAGAGUUUUGUAAAAUCUACGAUUCAGGUGGAAAACUUCUACGCCGUAACGUACCCAUAACCGCAUCAGGUCCCCAAGGUGAACAGCCUCUGCUCGAUAUGAUAAAUGCAGGUAAGGGAAGUCGGCAAAUUAGACCCGUAACUUUGGGAAAAGGGUUGGCUCUAGUGCUGUGUAGGAUUGGUUGUUGAGAUUUUUUCUGUGGGUCCUUUCUUUCCAAACAGAUUUUCUUGUCGAUGGCGGCUUGCUCUUCGGGGUUUGAGCUGUGUUGAUGGGGGGAUUUUUGGGAGGCUGGGGGCCUGCGGAUCUCGGCGGCGCCUACAUCAUGCAGCAAACUAGAACUGCAACGGUCAAAGGGAAUCCGACUGUUUAAUUAAAACAAAGCAUUGCGACGGCC
rnacentral:rRNA from 1 species